CUCAGAAGCCGUUAGCGCCACCAGGCUCCUUGCAGCUCAGGGAGCCCUGCCUGGCUAGGCUGUCCUGGCUGUGUGCUCUGCACUCAGGGCCCUGACCUCCCCGGAAAAACAGGCAGGACACGUGCCCAGGCCUGUAGGCUGCUGCUGAGUUUGGGCCUGUGAGGUGGGGGGAAGGAAGCUGGCUGCUUUCUCAGAUUCUGUUCCACGGCUUCUGCGUUUCUGGGAGUUCCUCAGAAUGGGCUUCCACCCAACAGACUUGGAA